CGCUUUAAGCGAAUCUGAGUUUAAGAAAUUAAACUUAAAAAACAUUCUAUCAUUCCUUACCGAAUGUAGAAAAGAGCUUUAAUGCUAAUAAUCCCUAGUGGAAAGGCUUUAUGCCAUCUUAAAUAGAUUGAAUUUAUUUCUUCCUUUUAUAGGUUUUUCAGGUUUCUCAGGUAAAUGAUGAAAUCUUGGAUAAAAAAAAGGCUAGGCACAAUUUUCCCGUAUGUUUGGAUAACGUGCCGCUAUUAAGCCUACACCCAUUCUGAUACCUGAAAGCGUAUCGCCAAAUGAGAAAAUUUUUCACCCUUCCGUCCAUCGAAACAAUCCGAAAAUGGCUGUCUAGGUUGGAGGUGACCGAAGGAUUUUCGACAACGGUGCUUCAUCUUCUUAAAAUUAAGGUUUCCAACCUUCCUGAAGAAGAACGAAUUGUCACAAUUUUUCUAGAUGAAAUGUGUGUGGCAAAACGAAUAACGUAUAUGGCAAACGCGAAACCAGACUAUUUCCUCGGUUUUGAAACUAAAGUCGGUAGGGAGCCCACCAAGAUCGAUGGAAUGGCCAACCAAGCUUUAACUUUCAUGGUUAAAUCCAUGAGGAGUGGAUUUAAGCAAGCUUUUGGAUAUUUUUUUAAUUCUACUUCAUGCCAUUCGACACGGCUAGUCAAAAUAGUUAGAAAAGCCAUAAGACUGAUUAGUGAAACCGGACUUAUAGUAAAAUUAAUAGUGACAGAUCAAAAUGCUUCGAACAGAGCUAUGUUUUGCAAGUUUUCAGAAAGUAGCAAUACAAUGGAUUCCUGGACAUUCUAACAUCUUAGGGAAUGAUAGAGCUGACAUUGCUGCCAAAAUGGCUAAAAUGAAAAAUUAUGUUGAACCCUUCGGUCUUACCUUAGGAGAUGCGCUUUUAACACAAAAAAACGAAAUAAUUAACGAAUGGAAUAAGAAUUACAAAAUAAUAUCCCAAGAAAAAGGAAUAAAACACUUCACAAUUAUGCCUAACAUUCAUACCAAACCAUGGUUUCAUAAUAUGUUUUUCAACACCAACACGACAGUACAAAUAUCAAGGAUAAGAACAUUCCAUACUGCAACAAAGGAUCGUCUCCAAAACUGGGGUCUAAUUAGCUCCAACCUGUGCGACCACUGUGGGGUGAUCGAAGACCUCGAUCAUCUCCUUUUUGAUUGCACAAAGUUCACCACUCACCGUACAGUCUACCAUUUUCUUGAAAAUAAAAAUAGCUUCCUAAAAAUGUUAGAAAGAAAACAAUAUAGUGAGUAUAAACUCUUCGCAGAUUAUUUGGAUGAAGUAAAGAUAAAUGUUUGAACCUGUAAAGUUAAGAUUUUAAUAUGAUUGUUUACUAAACUUCACUCAAAUGAUAUUUUGACCGCGUAACGUAUAAUUGUCAAUCGACAUAAAACUCAACACCAUUGGCUUUAUGGAACACCCAUGGUCCGUGCCAAAAAUAAAAAACGGAAAAAAAAAGAGCUACACGGACAAAACAAAACUACCCACUUGACUACUCACUACUGGGUUGAUUCACAUUAAGCCCAAAGUAAGUAGUUUUGGGUGGGUAGUUUUAAUCUACUUGAGGCUUUUUGUAAAAGUACCCACUCACUAGGUACCAUUUUUUCCUCUAUAUUGUCCGCCAUUUUCUUCUAUAGAAUAGACGCGUCUGGCAGAAGUUCGAGUGAAAGUUUAGGUCGCAGCUUAGCGAAAUCAAAAUCUUCUCCGCUAAAUCCGAGGUUUGAAGACAAGUACGGUAAGCAUUUAAUUUUUCUAUAAAUUUAAAACACAUCAUCAUUGAAUUUCUUUUUUUGUAGAUGCUGCAGAAAAAUCCGCCACCAGGAAUUAUGAAUGGUGCAACCGGAUCCUUCACCCUAAGUCUUGCCAACGACAGCCCCAGCAGCCAGCCAAAGUUACAUGCCUCAAUGCAGGAGCCUUUCCGGUAUCUGUUAAUUCCUGUGGGGAUCGACAAAAGCUGCAACAGCAUGACUCCUUCAGAAAAUGGCAGGGAAAUGUGAAUUUCAUGUAACGAUCAGGAUGAGAUGAUCGGAAGCGGCAUCGGUAUUCCUCCCAGUAACUCCCGCAAUCAUAAGGAUUCCUCUCAUCGACAUUGGCCAACCAAAAAAAACCCGAUGAGACCGGCGAAUGGAUUUGUACGGAUGGGAGGGCGAAGAUUGAAGGCCAAUCAUCAGCUCAGCGGGAAAAUCUCAAGGGGACUAUAUAUUCAACGCCGUAGCUGCAUAACGGUUCUGAAUUGGAGCAGAGUAAUGGUUUGUCAUGAUCCGAAUCGUGAGGAAUCCUCGAUCAACUUUAUGAAAUCCAUUCGUGAUUCAAGGAACUGACAGUUGUGAUGAAUGUAAGGAACUUGUUCGAACGAUCCGUCAGUCACGAUCCGACAUACUUCGAAUUAACAAGUUCGGAGUUGCUCAUCGAAAAGGAAGUGAAAAAGAAUUUUAAAAAAUAUGACCAUGUACGAAAAAAUUGAAAUAAAUGUAUUAUUUGAUGAAAAACUCCUCAUAAAACAACCUUUUGACCUUAAUAUCUGAAUUCCACGUCUAAAAGCAUAAAAGCAUGAAUUUUGCAAUUUUUCAAAUUUUUCCCAUAAAUUAACCAAGUACGUCAUUUUCACCCACUGGGACCUUAAAGCACAACUACCUACUUUUAGGUUGUUGUGCUUUAACCUACUAGUAAGUUCCUGCACUGAAGUGACGAUUUACGUCAAAAGUACCUAGAGUGGGUUGUUUUUUCUGUCCGUGUAUGUUUAAAAAAUUUGGCGUAACAAUAAAAAAAACCUUGGUUCUCGUUUGAAAAUAAACGGAUUUUUUGUGCAAACGACGCACCACAUCUGUUGAAAUCGUCCAGAAACAAUUUACUGCGACAUAACGCAGUUUUCGGUGGUGUAAUAUGUCAAUUUCAACACAUAAUAGAUUUCUACCUGGGGGAGGAAGACUGAAUAAAAAAAGAAAAAAAACUUUCAAACGUCAAAUUUCUCUCAUCAAUCUACCGACCAGUGCGAAGGUUUAAAAUUUUACUUUCUUAUUGCGGAAAUUGCACCUAUUUAGACUCCUGUGCAAAUAAUUUCCACGCAGAAAUAUUUUCGCACUGACGCACACAUACACAGAAAAAAAUAAUGACUAUUACGUGUCAUUGAAAACGAUGACCUGUUAAAUAAAACGGCCUGUAAUUAAAAAAACAUGGAGCUUAAAAUGUAAAUCUUUGAAUUUUACAGUAAAUGUCCUGUAACAAAAAAGAGCAUGACAUUUGCCGCAAUUUUACUGGCCAAAAAUAAUUACGUGCCAGAUAAAUUACGCGUCGUCCAAUAAUUCUCAAUUCCACACAGAAUUAAAGUGUGACUGGCAUCCCAGUUAGGUAUAAAAACGGUUUAUGUCGGAACAAUCGGAAAAACUCUACCAGUUACGGGCCGUUUAACUACGCAGUGGUGGUCGAAAAUGCAGCGAAGGAAACCCGGAUUAGCACCAAACUGCGAGCAGCGGGCUUACCGGAAGCAGAAAGUUGUCGUGAAGAUGAUGGUCGCAUUGUGGCGUAUGUGGCGUAAGUGUAUGAGAACGAUUUAAACAACAAACUCAAAAAUUAAGGAAGGUAAUUAUUGAAAUAUUUAUCAAUCCGUUGUAAUAUUUUUUAAAUUUUAUUAUUAUCUUUCAUAGUUUCAACUUUUGGAAAUAAACAAAAAAUCGACCAUCACUCAGAACGAUAAGGCCCGAGAAGACAUGGUGCUGCACAACAACGAAAUAAUUUUUUUCCUAAAAUAUCCAGCUCGAUAAUCGAUUUAACUUGAUUCAACAACUAUAAAUAGGAUUUACAAACAGAUUGUCAAGCUAAUGACUGAGCAUUGUGAGAGCGCUUAUUGAAGGGGAUCUGAAUAUCACAACAGUUUCUAAAAUUGUGGAGGAUCAUCUGGCUAUCGAACUGAUAUCCAAACCGCAACACACCGGUGACGAUAUUGUAACUCUGACUGCCUUCAGAAUCUAACGUACCCCCUUUAUGAGGACAUCACAUCAGUUGUAUUGUAACCCAAGAACAGAAGACGUUAUUUUUAAAGGAUCCGAUUAUUCGCAAAUUUCUUUUUUGUUCAGCUUGCCGAUCUCGUUUGAAGGCUGAUGAUUCGGGAGUAAUGGAAACAUUAUCCAUGGAAGAAGUUUUUGUGUUGCGGGAGAAAACCGUGGUUUUGAACUUCAUGCAUGCUCGUUCUUCCAGAACAGGUUUGAGCAAGAACGAAUCCAUCAUGCGUUGAGGACAUUUUGAAGAAAGGAAUGUUGCCGGUUAUUUUCGGUUGUGAUGUUCCGAAUACUGCUGAUCGCCCUAAUAAGGGUUUGGAUUUUAACCAAUUGUUAGCUAACAUUCCCUUUUUAUGUUCAAGAAAUUGAAAACAGUUAGCAUGUACCGAUGCAUAGAAAAUUCUCGAUCGUGGAAAUCAUUAAAACUGACGUUUAUCAGAACAAACAUCAUUGGUAGUGGCCGCAGGUUACUGGAGGAUGGAACAAGAUUCGUGAUAGUGUAAAUUGUGUAGGUGUAGAAUUGAUUUGAUUUUGCAUGUAUUUAGUGAGUGGAUUUCAUUGUAAAUAAAUGUUCUUAUAAAGGCAAAU